ACUAUAUAACAAAUAAUUUGAGGUUCAUCAGCAUGGGACAAGUUGCAGAUCAACCGCCAUAUAGGAGCAAAGAAAAACAGUCCUGGCUGUCCAAGAACCCUAACAGGGCCGGAACACACAACCAGUGAUAGCAGGAAAUAC